rnacentral:pre_miRNA from 1 species
GUAAACUUGGAAACUACUGUUGGAUCAAAAAAUGGACGUCUGAGAUUCGUCCACGUCAUCACGAGUUAAAACUCAUGAGUACAUCCAUGAGUAAAAUUUUUACUCGAGAUGACGUGGAGGAAUCUCAGACAUUCAUUUUUCGAUUCAACGGUAGUUUCCAAGUUUCC